ensembl:lncRNA LINC02055 long intergenic non-protein coding RNA 2055
AGGGGAACACAAGUCAGGACACAUCAUCAACUCUAAGAUAGAUCUUGAUUUCAAAAAUAUGCUGGUGCUGUGUUCGUAGGUUUGCUUUGUCUCCAGCACCCCACUGGUCAAUAGGAACAAGGGAGCAAUUUUCAGAGUUAUUAGCUGUGUUUGAGCUGUGCUGUCUGCCAAAAGAAGAAGUGGCUUUUGGACGCAGAUUUUACCUCGGAUGUAAUGUGGAGAGACACGUUGACACCUCCCUCUGAUAAAGUGACUCAGAGAUGAUUUCCUCUUCAGAAAACAGAAGAAUUUUCUGACACAUUUAUCCAGAUUGGAUGAUAUGGAGAUGAACACCAGGACUAUUUUAGAAACUGCAUGUUGAAGACCACUGAGAUAUAAAACUUAGAAAAAAAAAGGUUCUGAAUCAAUGCCUUGUGAAGACAGUUGCACAGGGUACCACCAGGCUGAAAUCCAGGUGUUCACCAGGACUUUUCUUCACCUGGAGGCCCAGCUGGAGAAGAAUCUGCUUCCAAGCUCCAUCAGACUGUUAGAAAAUUAACUUCCUGUGGCUAUAGGAUUCAUGGCACGUUGCUUCUUCAAAGCCAGCAAUGGAAAGAGUCUUCUGCUCCAAGAAUGACAUGUAGUCACUCAGAAAGGGAUCAUAUGACUAGCAAAACUCUCAUACCUUUCCCAAGAGAAUCAAGCUGGAUAUUUCACAUCCCAAUGCAUCCUGUUCAAAAUCUAAUAUGGAGCAUCUCCAAGAGGUGCUCAGCUUUUCCAUCAGAUCUGGAUAGGUCUUCCUAUCAUUCAAUAAUUUAUUUUAAAGAAAAAGAAAUUGUCUAUCCUCCAAUCUUCCUCAAUUUUGAAGAAAUUCUAAAUCAGAAAGUGAAUGAAUGAGAAACCACAGAAGAAACUGGUCUGCAGCAAUUUGGAUGUCCCACUGAACAGGCUUUAUGAAGGUCAUCCACCCUGAGAAAGCAGGUGCAUUUCCUAAUUAAAUCCUGUUUCUGCUCUUUGGAAGAAA